CUUCUUUGUUGUCUUGUGAAGGUGCAUCAAUUCAAAGCUUCAUCUUGCUUUCCUGCGAAGUUUGGCAUGCAUAUAAAGUAGAAGAUUUGUGAAUUCAGACCUACGCAAGGCAUUGGAUUCAGAAUCUUUAGAAAUUUGAUCUCUAUUUUGCUACGUAUCAGGUAAAGAUCUAAUUUUUAUUAAGUUGUUAUAAAAAAAUUUUAGAUGCUCCUUAACAAUCCCUCCUCAGAAACGGAUUUCUUUUCCUUCAAAAACACCGAGGCUAGAUAUGAUUCCUUCUCUUUUUCUUCAGAUGCUAUUGGUCUAUUGUUCGUGAUGAAAUAGUGGAGGCUAUUCAGCUAUUUUUGAUUAGAGGUCAUAUGCCUGUAGCUUGAAAGUAGACCUUCAUUAUCUUUCUAAAAAAAUUGGAUGCCUUGGAGCUAAGUCACUUUAGGCCUAUCAACCUACGCACUAUCUUUUACAAGAUCUGCACCAAGAUUAUGGUGGGUGGAUGAAGCAUUUCCUUAUUUCAUCAGUCC
rnacentral:lncRNA from 1 species